UGGGGAAUUUUGGACAAUGGGGGAAACCCUGAUCCAGCCAUCCCGCGUGUGCGAUGAAGGCCUUCGGGUUGUAAAGCACUUUUGGCAGGAAAGAAACGUCGCGGGUUAAUACCCCGCGAAACUGACGGUACCUGCAGAAUAAGCACCGGCUAACUACGUGCCAGCAGCCGCGGUAAUACGUAGGGUGCAAGCGUUAAUCGGAAUUACUGGGCGUAAAGCGUGCGCAGGCGGUUCGGAAAGAAAGAUGUGAAAUCCCAGAGCUUAACUUUGGAACUGCAUUUUUAACUACCGGGCUAGAGUGUGUCAGAGGGAGGUGGAAUUCCGCGUGUAGCAGUGAAAUGCGUAGAUAUGCGGAGGAACACCGAUGGCGAAGGCAGCCUGCUGGAUAACACUGACGCUCAUGCACGAAAGCGUGGGGAGCAAACAGGAUUAGAUACCCUGGUAGUCCACGCCCUAAACGAUGUCAACUAGCUGUUGGGGCCUUCGGGCCUUGGUAGCGCAGCUAACGCGUGAAGUUGACCGCCUGGGGAGUACGGUCGCAAGAUU
rnacentral:rRNA from 1 species